AUCUUUUGUUCGUCGAUUAGUCGGUGUUUGACUUGGCUUCCGAUCAGAAGAACUUCAACCCUCAUUCGCUUGUGUGCUCGCGUAUUUAUGUGCUGUGAUGAAAAAGUCUGAAAUUAUAAGAAAAGUGUGAAAAGUGAUUUUUCGAUUCACCAACGAUCGUCAUUGCCGCGCGCCGGUCAUUGAGUUGACGAAACUAUCACCGUCAUCAUUGUCAAACUACAACGACGACGACAGUCGACAACACUACCAUUCAUACUCGACAACAAUCGAAUGUUUUGAGUCUGCGACUAUAGGAAUAGGUGCCUCUUUAAGUUCGUCUGAUUCUCCACUAACUGAAGGGUGCUUGUUUAAGAGCGUGAGGUGCUAAUGCGUCUAGGAAAUAAUAUUUUAUUUUAUUUUAUUUUAUUUUGUGAUGUUAUGCAAAAUAUAAUCGGGACUUGACGGUGGUGGUGCGGAGUGACGCGCAUGGAAGUAAUAGGAUUUUUGUGAUUCUACCUGGAGUUAAGUGAUUGUGAAAAGAUCUCUUUAAAAAUCGAUUAAAUUACGACAGUAUUUAUAGGAAAAUUUAUAGUGCUUAUUGAUGACGAAAGAGAAAAAAAAUUACGAGAAAUGUGCUAACUUUACAUUAAUUUAUUAAUAAGAAAAUAUUCAAAUAAAAUAUUGUGAUUUUUGUACUUUGAGUACAAAACUCCUGACGGGAUUUCCAUUGAACUUCGAAACAUUCCAGAGAUCUUUAAGUCUCUCCACACCGCUGCACCAUGAAAUUUAACAUAUUUUCAAAACCUAACAAAAUGGAUGAUGAUCCGGCUAAUGAAAAAUCCAUUUCAAAUAAUCCAAAUGCUGAAAAGAAACCACUUCGUCGACAAAUAACAAUCGAAGAAGAACCCGACUCAUUGGAUAGUGUCAUAAGUAAUCCCGAUUCAUUCCCAAUUACCAUUGUACCCAGUCGACCAGCUAGUAUUUAUAGAUAUUCCCAGAAUGGCAAUUGCAAAACCUUUAACCGUCAAGGUAGUUGUAGGAGUCGCAAUUUCCGUCCGGGAAGUAUGCGAAAAAUUCGACGUAGAGCAGUUCUCAAAAAUGGUGAAUGUAAUGUUUUGCAAAAAAAUCUAGCCAAACGACGAAUUCGCUUCCUGCAAGAUAUUUUUACCACUCUUGUUGACAGUCAAUGGAGGUGGACGUUGUUGGCGUUUGCAUUGAGUUUCAUGUUAUCGUGGGGUAUGUUUGCUGUCAUUUGGUGGCUGAUCAUGUUUACACAUGGAGAUUUCGAAGAACUUCAUUUGCCAGACAAUCAAGAGGAAAGCGGUUGGCAGCCUUGCGUCUCGGCCAUUUAUUCCUUCACAUCGUGCUUUUUAUUCUCAAUUGAAACCCAACACACAAUCGGUUAUGGUGGACGAUCGACGAAUGAAGAAUGCCCCGAAGCUGUAUUUAUGAUGUGCUUCCAGUCCAUGUAUGGAGUUAUGAGUCAGGCGUUUAUGGCCGGCAUAGUUUUCGCCAAGAUGACUCGACCUCGGCAGAGGACUCAGACUCUGCUAUUUUCAAAGAACGCUGUGAUCUGCCAACGAGAUGGAACACUUGCUUUAAUGUUCCGAGUAGGUGAUAUGCGAAAGAGUCACAUUAUCGGUGCCAAUGUAAGGGCUCAAUUAAUUCGCACGAAAACAACAAAGGAGGGAGAGGUGAUGAGUCAGCAUUUCACCGAACUUGAAAUUGGCACCGAUGAGUGUGGAUCUGAUAUUUUCUUCAUUUGGCCUAUGGUCAUAACGCACAGAAUUAAUGAGAGUUCGCCGCUAUACAACAUGUCUGCCACUGACUUGAUUCAGGAGAAAUUCGAAAUCGUUGUGAUCCUCGAGGGCACGGUGGAAUCGACUGGUCAGACGACACAGGCUCGAUCGAGUUACGUGAACACGGAGAUCCUUUGGGGACAUCGCUUUGAUCCGGUUGUUGUAUACAACAAAGAUCGACAGGCAUACGAGAUUGACUACCAGCGUUUCAAUGAGACCACACAGGUGGACACUCCGUUGUGUAGCUCUCGAGAGCUAGGGGAAUACUACAAAAUUCAAGAUGGCCUUAGGACUCCUGAAAAAACAACUUUUACCUUGCGUCAGCUAUCAUUGAAUCCAUCUGAACAUUCUGCAUCGGCUUGAUGUUGAUUACUUUAUGUCUUGCUUUUUGUCUUCCUGGGAUGGAUGUGGUUUUUGUUUUGUAUUGUUAGUAUUUAAAAAAAUGUUGUCUUUGUUUCUGUCCCAGUGUAGUCUUUUGUUUUAAAGCUGGAAGGAAUUUAUGAAAGAAUAUCCAUUAAUAAUUUCAAAACCUCGUUCAGCCGAAAUUAAGAGGAAAUCAUUUAUUUGGAAAACAAAUGAAAAGAGUCAAUAUCGAUGUGAUAUGUAUUUGAAUGGAAUAAGACCGAAAUUUUAAGAAAUUUAGAUUAAAUAUUUAAGUUUAUAAUUAAGAAAUUGUUAAAUAGACGCACAAAUGUUUUAUAUUGCUUUGAA